AUCGCGGUGUUCCGCUCAUUCGCAUCAUUCUUUCGCCUUUUACUAAAGAAUGCCGUGCGUGGGACACAGUUAACGCGUCUGACGCAAUUUUUGCACACCCAUCGCGCCCUCGGGCGU
rnacentral:snRNA from 1 species